UGUCGGCUUUGGCCUGUUGUGUAUGGUCGUCAGCCUCACGAUUUUAAAACGCGUGUGUUAGGGAGAGGUUUCCACACCCUUACAAGGAAUGUUUCGUUCUCCUCUCCAACCAAUGUGUGAUCUCACAAUCGCCUACCCUCCAAUCUAACAAAUACAAGAAACAGAACAUAGAAUGAAGAAAGAAAUACACAACAAGUUCUUUAUCUUCUCAAAUUUCGCCAUUUGAGACGCCAAAAUUUCAAUUUACUUUCACAAUAGUGUUCCAAUGAGGCUCAAAAGGCCUUUAUGCAGCACUUCUACUACCAACCAAGUCAGCCAAAUCCAAAUAGCCAACAGCCAAUGGAUCUAAACAUUUUCAAAAGUAUGUUAAAGGCUUCAAA